GCGACGGCCAGGCCCCAGCCCCAUGACUCAGAGAAAUUUGCAGGAUAUGAGUCGCGUGUUUUCAAAACAGCUUUAAAACACAAACACACACACAUACCACAUUCCCUGAACCUUCUGUCUAUCUCUCCCCCAUCCCUCCCCCCACGGAUAAGCACAGCGAUGUCUCAUACUCUGUCAUUUAUACAUUCUGUCCUCCAAGACUUCCUGGGGAGGCGGGUGGGGGCCUGAAGGAAGCUGGUAACCUCAUCCCCCUCACUAACACACACACGUGACCCCAGGAGAACCAGUACGCUGCUUCUGGGUCACUGCUGCCACAGAUUCCUCCCUACGCAUCCCCCUAGCUAUAAGACUGGAUCCUUCUAUGAAGCAAGGAUCUCAAAGCCCUCCACCCACCUCCCGCCAGUCCUGUGCGAUGGGUAUCCUUAUUCCCAUCUUACAGGUGGGCAAACAGACACAGGUGACUUGUCCAAGGACCCCCACAGCAGGAAUAGAACCCAGGCAUCCCAACUCUCGCCUCCCCCUUCCAAUUUAACCUUCCCAUUUACUGGGGGAAAAUAUCCCUCUGGAACUGCUCCCCUCUUGAACUCCUUCCCUGUCGGGGCCGAGAUCCAGGGGGCGCGUGCACAGCAAUGGCUGGAGCAAGCACAUGACUGGAAGCGGCUGUGGAGUCUGGGUCUGGAGGGAUGUGCUCAGAAAUGAGCCUCCUUCUAUCCUCUGCCCCACACAAUUCCUUUGGGGCUCGUCCACCGUUUGCAGCUGGCUAGAAUAAUGGUGGGAUGCUCAAGGCUGCCAUUAAACAGAAGAUGGGGUGUGAGCCCUCCCCUCGUCCCUCUGAUCGCAGCCCAGAGUCUAUGGUGACGCGCUCUGCUGUGGACAGAACACACCUGUCAGGCUGCGCACAGGAGGGACGUGGGACAGAGCAGACGGGGGCUACCUGGAUUUCGAUGGAACGGGCCAUCGGUGAGGGGGGGAGGAAAGGCAUGAACCUGCCGAGAAGAGGCUGCUUUCCCUCCCAGAUUUGGGGACACCUCCCGUCUGCAUGCCUUGUAGAGCACCUCUCUAAGAACAUGGAAGAAAGCAAUUCUCCAUACCUGCGGCUUCUUCCUGGGUCGUCCCCGCCCUCUCUUCUCAGACACGUCCUCCUCCUGUUUGGAAGCCAAGGGCUGGCUGGAUUUUGCACUAGAUUCACUCAUCGUCUUUCUUCCAGAGGACAAAAGAAAAGAAGAGGAAAGGGUGGUGAAUGGACGGAUUGCUUCUGGUUCCCAAGGACAAGAAUUUCAAAGGUUUCCAGCUUGUGUGGUUGUGGAGAAAAACAUGACCUGUGAAGGCUCAGAAACUAGAAGGCAAACUCAAAAGAACCCCAGAUUUUAUUAGUUUUUCAGCCGAGUUUUUUAUCUUGGUCUCACGGGUUUUGGGGGCCUGACUCAUGAUCAUUGAAUGCCUGGGACAGGCAGUACUACACUAUUCCAUCCAAAGCAAUUGCUGGAUUGUUCGCAAUGAUGUUACACAAUUGGGAAUGGGAUGGGAGGCACCCCUGAGAUUAUCUCUCUGUUAAAAUGUGGUUUCCAGUCAGAGGAAGAAAGAGAGUUCUAGCUUUUAGGUAGAGCUGACUGGGAACAUUUUAAUGAACCACUUGUCAUUGGAAUUUUCCAGUUUGUUGAAAUGGAAACAGUUUGCAGAGACAGUUCAAUUUUGAUGAAGUUCCGACAGAAACCUGCCAGCUUGCCUGUGCAUCUCUGGGGCAGCCUCUGGGCUGCUAGAGAUGCCAGGGCUUCUGGAUGCAGAGUUGUGGGUCAGCCCUGGCAUUCAGAGUGCCCUGGGGCAAGGGGCACCAGGGCUUCCAAAUCCGGGGCUCUGGAGUAGCCUCCUGAGUGCGCUGCCCAAGAGCCGGGGCUCCAUUCCCAUUUGCAGAGAAUUUUGAAAAUUUUGGGGUUUGUUCCAAACAGGAAUGAAACCAAAUUUUGAAAUAUCGAGCUCCUCCCACAAAUGGAAUGACCUUUAUAUUCCCAUCCCUCAGCCUGCUCCGAGAUAGACUCACUCUCAUCUCCUGCUAACAUGAAGCCUUUGUUGGGCAACCUUCUUGGCCACAAAGCACAGGCUGGUGGAAGCGAUGAACCUGCAGCUCCACAUGGUAAAUGCGAAUGAUGGAGCUGGAGCUGAACUUCCCCAAAGUUUGAGAUGUGUGCACCGGUAUGUUGAGGCAUGGUGUGUGUGCACAUGUAUGUUGGGGGGGCGGGGUGUGCAUGCAUAUUGGUGCCUGCGUGUUCAUUAUCUCACAUGUGGUUCUGGAGCAGGCCUGUCUGACAAAGCAGUGGUAGUAAGGACGUUGGGUGGUGAGGUUCACACACGCCUUUGGCUUGGUGAAGAUGAGCACCCCCUCUGGAGUCUGUAUCUGAGGCUGCUGCCAUGUGCUUGGAGGCUAGUGAGCUGAUAAGUUGCAUUAAGGCCUCCUACUCCUGGAGCUUGGAAUCCAAGCCUGAUACUGAGAUUGGCCUGUCAACCUGAGCCCUUGGUUCCUCAUGGGGUUAACCACAGCAUGAGUCACAAAGGCAGCAUGGGGGAGACUGAAUCUGCUCUGGGAGCAAAGUGCUCCAGCAAGAGGAUGGGGGGUGGGAGGGCAGAGCUUGGAGACUGUACACAAGAAUGUACCUGCCAGCCUCCUCCCACUGAACAAAUCCUCCCCCAGCCCCAGCCAGCUGGCACGAGGGAUACUAACAAAGAGUUGUAAAAAGGCCAGAGAGGAAAAUGAUUAACUUGGGGAAUGCUGCUAAGGAGGAAUGCAAAGGGACAAUUAAUUGGGGACUCAGUGCUUGGCUCAGAGGUGUUCUCUUGCAAAUGGAGCAUCCAAACUAAGCUAGAGGAAAAAUAUUGUAGCAAAUCCACGAGCGGCUACAACAUCAUCUGUCUCAUUGUGCUGUUUGCCACAGCCACAGGGAACUUCGCAGCAGCAGGGAUACUGCACAGAUGGUCCUGUUCUGAGAGCACUGGCCUCUACCCUUUGUGCUGACAGAGAAUCUCCAUUAGCAGUAUAAGGCCUAUGAUACAUAGCUGAGCAGUUCUGACUCCACCCAGUGGAGGGCAACACACACACAUACGCUAGCCAGCACAUUAUCUGUCAUCAGAUUCAAAUAUGCAAUUCGAUUUUACAGUUUCCAGCGAGCUGUGCAACAUUUUUAUUUAUCCAGCACCUAACAUUCGUUAAUGCUUUAGAGGUAAACAAAGAAACAAGGUUCCUGCUUUAAGGAGCUUGCCAUCAAAAUAUCAGCGGAUGGCACUUCUGCGUCUGAUUCUCCCUGGCCAUGCAUUAUGGGCAGUCGUUUUUAUCUGUGCAAAGUAGGUGUAAAAAGCAUUCUCCACUCAUGGUGGUGGGACUGUUUUUAAACCCUUGCCCAGGUGUAAAUUAUGCCAGGAUGCAAAGCAGUGAAGAAUCAGGCCCGCUGGCAAUAGCAACAGAAAAAAGCUUGUGGAAUAUUUGAGCGGCUGCUUGUGUUUCUGUGAAGCAUUCUCAACUUCAAGCUGGAUUCCUGCAGCUGCUCUGUUUUGGGUCAAUGUCCCAACCUGCCGCCCCCGGGCUUUUGGUCUCCGCUAGUCGCACAAGUUCACUGUGGCAAAGGGGAAUAACUCAGGCAAACAGAGAGCUUGUCCCAGCGCCAAGAAAACAUUCUUCCAGGCCAAAUUCCUUGACACUUUCCCUUUUACUCAGCUCCGGUUUGAAAAGUACCCUGGUGGAGGGACUUCCCUUUUGUGAGUCACCCCUUGGUCAUGAGGGGUGACUCAGCACUCAGACACGAGGCCAGCCACUGGCCUGGGACUCCUGCAGGAAACUGGAAGGAAGGCGACUGGAGAACAAAUACUCAGGGGAGGCGAGGCGGGAAUGGAGGUGGCGGGGGUGUGUGUGUGUGGGGGGGAGAAUUACAGGUGAUAGGCAGGAAGCGGGCGGACUGAGAGAUGGGGAUAAUGCCAGGGGAAGAGAAGGAGCAAAGGGAUUAAAAGAGACAGAAGAAGCCUCCACUGAUGUCAGUGGAGCUGCUGUGCCCAUUUACACCCGCAGAGAAUUUGCCUCCCCCCCCCCGGCUAUUACAGCAUGGAGAAGGCAAAAGAACAAAGAAAAGGAGACGGAUGCCGGGGCCAGAUCCUCAGCCCGUGUCCCUCCAACAGAGUGACACUGAUUUACACCAGGGAGUGAGCGAGGAGAGGUGGAAGGGAGAGACAGGUGGGAACAAAGGGAAAAACGAGACCGGAGAAAGGAGGAGGCAGGGACGGAGAACCGGGAAGUAAAAACAAGCACCCAACUAAAUGAGUUUAUUAUUGCUUGUCUGUACAGGAGAAAUUUGUACUCAUGUAGUUACACUGGUACUACACUAGUACACAUCUGCUGCACCAGUGCAACCCUUCCUUCUUCUCCCCCCCCCCAGCAUAGGGGCCCUGCGCCAGCUGAUUCUGUGGCUUUACCUAAAUCAGACUCUCUUGAGGCGCUGCACACCUGCUCGGAUACAAACUAGCCCUGGCACGAGCCCACACUGAAGUCAAAGGAAGUCAAGUUGGACCCAGUGUUUCAAAGCCUGUGGUCUGACCCAGGAGUCCAUCUCCUUUUGCACAUUGUACAAAGCACCAUUGAUCUGCUGGGAAUGACGGAUGCUCUAUGACAUAAACUAACCUGCUGCAGACCCUGCUCAGAGUUACAGCUCUUUCAAGGCUCCUCCCGCCCCUGCCUCCGAAAGGAUUAACCAUUAUUUCUGCCCCUGGAGCGAAAAAAGGGCUAAGAUCAGGGACCCAGCAUCUCAUCAUCUGGCUGAUGGCUUGCAGAACUACUUGCUUCUAGGCUGCUGACCUGAGUCCAGCCCACAUCAGUAGUGAGGGGCUAGUCUCACUGUGUGAAAUGGGCUGGGGUCGGGGAAGUGAAGGUUUCAGUCCAAUUUGCUACCGGGACAAGUUUCUACAUCAGAAAACCCUUCAAUUGGUGCUACGUGGUCUCUUUUUCAGCAGCUGCAGCAGAAUGGCCAAAGAGACUGAACUCCCCUGUAAUUGCUAACUCUGCUGCUGUACUUCAAAUAAAAGACUUCAGGGCCCGAUUUUGGUUUACACCAGGGCCUCUUUACAUCGCUCUGCCCUUAAGGGGGUGUAAACUUGACACCUGAUGUAUUAUUAUUUUAUUACAGGAAUACCCAGAAACCCCAUGUAAGAUCAAGGCUUACAAGCUUUCAGCGCUUUUCACCCACACUCAAAUUCACUGACAUUUAUUUUAAAGAGAAAAUAAAAGAAAGACAGGCCCAUGCUUAGCAUACUGGAGUUCUGAUCCAUGACUGGGGCCCCUAAGUGCUACCACACUGCAAAUAAUUAAUAAGCCUUAAGCUGCAGCUAUAUGUCUAAAAUGUUCAUCACCCUCCCCCCCCCAAAUAUUUACCGUGCUGUUACUUCUCCUUAAUACAGUACCUCCGUUUGAGAUGAUGGAAAACUCAGGAAUUAUAUGAUAAAAAACAUAGCUUCCACCAUGCAUUUGGAUUUGUUUGAGUCGCUUUCAGCAGGUUUCAUCCGAUCUGGUGAUAGAGAUUUGACCUUUAAUUAAUAAUAUAAAGGCCAAAAUGGAGACAGAAGGGAGAAAAAGAAAUAGAUAUGUGGGAUAAUUUAAAAAAUACUCCCACUCCAUGUGGCAGUAUUCAAACAUUGUAACUAGAGCUGUUCGAAACUUGGAAUUUCCGUGGCCGUGGGAAAUACCAGCAUUUUGGGGGGAAAUAAAAAAGUUCUGGAUCAGAAUGAAAAGUUGAACUUUCAAAAGUUUCUGCUACAUAAAAUUUACAAUAAAAUGCAUUUUGGAUCAGUUGAAAUGUUUCAAUUUUUACCUAUUAAUAUAUUAUUUUUAUUAUUUUUCCAUUGGAUUUGAUUUUUUAUUUGAUUGUAUAAUUUGGCAAUUGGUUUGG